GUUUAUCUUCUAAUUCCAAGCUGUAUUACGUAGGGAGAGUGUAACCAAAGUUUGCUGAAUUAAUGCAUUAAUAAAUUUGUCUCUUGAGGACUGAGCUUCUUCACAUCUAAAAUAUUUUCUAUGUAUAUAUGCUUUUCUACAAUCUUAUUAAAAUUUAUUUAAAUUUUUUGUUAUUGGUAGAAUCUUUGCCCUGUUGAAUCCAGAAUACAAAAUGGAAAAAAUAAAAUGAUAUAGAAUACAGCAGGAGGAUAAAAGAAGAGGGCAUGGUGACAAACAUUUCUGGAAUGCUUAUUUCUACUGGUUUACACACCUCCCCUAAUUGAUUCAUCUUAGCAGUCAAUAAAGUAGGAGAUGGAGCCUGUGCUCAAGAUCAGAGGCAGCCUCAUCUAGAGUUUAAUGGACAAUCUUUGGAGCAAUAUCACCCAGCCAAUCCUAACAGUAAAUUAUGCAGGAUGUAAGGAAUUCUGAGACGAUUGGAGAUAAUGAUUGAAAUGUGAGUACUGUAGACCAUAAAUGUUAGAAAGAAAAUAAUGAGUUGACAACACGAACCUCACACUCACCCAUCCUGCUGCUUAUGCUGGAAUGAGAAUAGUUAGUGUGUUAAAGGAGAUAGUAAAAUUCUAACGAUUAUAUUGGAAAAAAUAUUCCACUCGGAAGACUGAGCACAUCUUGGAGUGUUCUUGUCAUAAACAGAUUCUAGU
rnacentral:lncRNA from 1 species